GUUCAAACAGGAAAGGCUGCAGUGGAUACCUAGGCCAGACGAGGAAGGAGAAAGGCAGCCAAUGGCAAAGAAAUGCUUCUAAAGGGAGUUGGUAGCAUAGAUCAAGACCAGAUAGAAGUUAACCUUUUGAACUGCUGCUGAAUCCCAUGGGCAGGCAGAGACAACCCUGGCAGGCAGAGCAUCUGGUAGCCAGAGGAAAAGAAAGCAAAAGCGAUUCCUGCAUGCCAGAGCAGAGGCUGAGACAGCCCUAAACCAGUAGAAAAACAGACUGCUGAAACCAUAAAACAUCCGUGCUGCUAGGCGAAGCGGUGGAGUCUCACCCUGAAUGGCGAGUCCAGUAGCCAAGCACUCUGGCUGUCUCUGACCAAGUGGCAUGGGGCACGUGGGUCAGUAUGAAUCAAGCAGGACCACUGCAAGGCUUAAUCUCUGGGUGACCGUGUGAAGUAGUACCGUGGGGGAAGGGUGAAAGAACCCCCAUCGGGGAGUGAAAUAGAACAUGAGCCGUAAUGAAAGCUCCCCAAGCAGGUGGGAGGGCCUGGGCUCUGACCAUGAAGAAUAGGCAGCGCUCAUAAAAUUAAGCGGUUAAGGGAACCCCGGAAUGCAUGGCAGAAAGCCAGUGCUUAGGAGCCAUUGUCCUCCUUGGACCCAGACCUGAGGUGAUCUAUCCCUACUGACCAGGAUGAAGCUUGGCCUAAAUGGAGUCAGAACCGACUGAUGUUGAAAAAUCAGCAGAUGAGUUGUAGUUAGAAGGGUGAAAUGCCACUCAGACAAGAGCUAGCUGGAUUUCACCCAAAGAAUGCGUUGAGCGCAGCAGUUGACUGGACAUCUGAGAGUAAAAGCACUGUUUCAGUGCAGGCCACGAGCAGUGAUACAAAAUCGAGACAAACUCUGAAUACUAGAUAUGACCUCAAAAUAACUGGGGUCCAAAGUCAGCCCAGUGAGACUGACGGUGAGGAUAAACUUCAUCGUCAGGAAACAACCCGGAUCAUGGCUAAGCCCCUAAAUGACGCUCAGUGAUAAAGGGAGUGUAGGGGUGCAGAGACAGCCAGGAGGUUUGCCUGAAGCCACCCCGCCAUGAAAAAUGCGUAACCAAGCUCACUGAUCAGGCGCUCUUGCAUAGAAGAUGAACAGGACUAAAGCGAUCUGCCGAAGCUGUGGGAUGUCCAAAAUGCAUCUGUGAGGGCGUUCCGCCUUAGGAAACAACCCGCGAGGCAGCUGGUGGACAAGCGGGAAGCGAGAAUGUCAGCAACAUUGUUGAAAUCCAAUGCCCGAAAACCAAGGGUUCCUCCGCAGGUUCGUCCACGGAGGGUAGUCAGGGGCCUAAGAUCCAGGCCGAAGGCGUAGUCGAUGGACAGCGGGUGAAUGUUCCUAUACUACCCUUGUUGGUCCCGGACGGACAGAGGCUAGGUUGUAGAUGGUUAUCGGUUUAAGAACAUAGAGGUGUCCUGUUUUUUUUCGGGUAAGAGAGGGUGAGAAAAAUGCCAGAGCCAAUGUUCAGUACCAGGCUACUGCGCUGGUAACCGGCAUACUCUCUCCAGGAAGAAGCUCAGACGACCUUCAGCAAAGGGUACCUGUACGAGAACUAAAGCCACAGGUGGUGGUAAGAAAUGCACCUAGGGGCGCGGAGACAACUCUCUAGGAACUCUAGCAAAAUGGCCCCGUAACUUCAGGAGAGAUUUGCCUCCUCUAGGGGUCGCAGUGAUAGGCCCGGGCGACUGUUGCAAAAACACAGGUCUCCGCAAAGUCCCAGUAAAUGCAUGUUGGGGCUGACGCCUGCCAGUGCCAGAAGGUCAAAGGAAGUUGGUGACCUGAUUGGGGGAAUGACCGGCGACCAGAGCCCAGUGAGCAGCGGCGCCAACUAUAGUCCUAAGGUGUAGAAAUUCCUUGUCAGGUAAGUUUUCAUGCACAAAGGCGUAACGAUCUAGGCACUAUCUCAGGAGAAGAAACAGUGAAAUAGAAUAGACAUCAUGAAGAUGCAGACUACCUGCACCUGGACAGAAAGACCUGAAACUUCACUGUUCCCUGGGAUUGGCUUUGUGACUUUCCUGCUUAGGUGGAAGGCAGAAAGGCCUCCUUCAGAGGCCCCAGCAGCCAUCAGUGAAUACCACUCUGGGAAGAGCUAUAAUUCCCCUAACCUUGUAUGGGACCUACGGGCAGGACAGUCUCAGGUAGACAGUUUCUAUGGGGCGUGGAGGCCUCCCCAAAAGAUGGCGGAGGCCUCCAAAAGGUUUCCCGGAAACCGGACGGUGGCCCUCGAGUGCAAAAGGCAGGGAGCUUGCUGCAAGACCCCCGUCGAGCAGGGACGAAAAGUCGGCCUUGAUGAUCCGACAGUGCCGGUGGAAAGAGGGCUCAGCAGAUCAAAAAGUUAAAGUUACUCUACGGGAUAACAAGGCUGAUCUUCCCAAACUCCAUCUGACAGGAAGGUUUGGCACCUCGAUGGCUCUUCAUUACCUAGAGGCUAUCAUAUGUUCAAAGGUUGGGCUAUUCCUUACAUUAAAGCAGUACAUGAGCUGGGUUCAGAACAUCGUGAGACAGUUCAGUCCAUAUCCCGGUGUGGGCGUUAGAGCAUUGAGAGGACCUUUCCUAGUGCAGGAGACCGGGGAAGGACGCACCUCUGGUGUACAGUUAUCGAUGCCCACAUUAAGCUGGUAGCCAGAGUGCGGAGCGAGAUAACUUGCUGAAAGCAUCUAGUAGUAAGCCCACCCCAAGAUAUGGAGUGCUCUCUAUUCCGUGACUUCCCAGAACCUCCGGCCAGCUGUGCCGACACAGCGGGUUCCUCCGCCCCUGCGAAAGAUGACAGAGUUUGAGAUUCAAGAGAGAGUCACGGCAGAGACAGGCCGUUUAUCAUUACGAUGGUGUCAAGUGG
rnacentral:rRNA from 1 species